AUUUAAACUACACUGAGAUGGGCUUUCCUCAUGCUGCUGAUAUCCUGAGCUCCUGCAUUUCUUCUAUUGACCCUGGUUUGCUGGAAGCUGCAUAGCUGUAACCUGAUUCAACAACCAAUGCAAUAGUCAUGAUAAAGGACUGUGAAGAACCAACAGCGUCAAUACCCGCACAAACUGAGGGUUAAAGAGACAAAAUGAAGUGUACGGAAGAAAACAGUCCAAGGAAAAAGCAAAAACAGAGAAAAAACACGUUUUAAGUCACAAAAUGUACAAUUGUGUCACAAAAACACAAAUAAUGGUGUGCUUAAUGAAUAAGCCAUGUUUUAUACUGUGUCGGCUUAAGAAAUGAUUUGAACACAUUACAGCAUAAUUUUGAUAACUUUCAAGGCAAUUUCAUAAAUUUGUUUCUUUCAGUAUUUUACCUCUUUUAAUGUGAUACACAAUAGUUAUGUAGGUUUUCAGCAGAAGCAGGAUGGCCAUAAGACCAAGACCACAUGACUAUCAAUGGUUGGACAUGGGAUGAACUAUAGGACAACUAGAUGACUAAACAGAUCAUACAGGCUUAUGCCAGAAUUGAAUUGUACAGAGUUUCGGACGGACUGCAGGAGAGUUGUGUCUACCAUGAUAAGGACGAUGAUUGGAAUCCACCUUUUAGAUGACUAUGUGAAUUAACUAGUAAACUACCAUCAGGUACACACAUGGCCAAAUUUGUAUCAGCUGGUCCCAAGACUUACGGGUACAAACUGAAUAAUAUAAAGACAAAUUUAAAAGUAAAGGUUAUAACUCUGAACUCUGCUAACGCCGACAUAAUCAGCUUUGAGAGUUUAAAAGAUCUAGUGUUGCAUUACCCUUCAAAUUCUUGAGUAGACGCAGCAGAGGUGUAUCGUCAGGAACAAACAAUACUGACAAGUUGACAAGUCCACUGAGGAAAACACAAAAGUGUGUUUAUACAAAGAGACUGUUAUCACAUGACUUUAUUACACUACCGUUCGGGUACAAAUUGAGAAUCAUGGAUACAACUUUGAAACGCCCCUUUUCCUGUGAUUUUUUUUUUUUUUUUUUAUAUAUAAACAGGUCCUUCAAAUCCUGGAAAAAAAGUUAUUUUGUUAGACAAGUCCUACAUCACUCUGAUUUGCUUCUGUCUCAUAAACCUGAUAAUAUUGUUUUGGUUUUAUGCCCGUUGGCAGAGAUUGUAUGAUGAACUAUUAAAGUAUUUUUUCCAUAUUAAAUUUACAGAGGGUCUACCUAA